AAUGAUUUGAGCUUUUAAAUGUUUAUAAAGAGAACUAACAUUUUGUUUUCAACGUGUUGCAGAGUUUGAAUGAUCCUAACGCGGCUUACGACCCAAUUUUUCCUGAAGGAGGUUUAAACGAUAGUGUUUGCUUGAAAAGUUAUGAAAGCUUGGAUUCGAAUAUUCUUCUAUCUGUAGUUGUUUGCGAUUAACCUUUGGAAGUAAGCAUUCAUAAAAUAUCACAAAUAAAGAAGCUCUAAAGGAAUAGAGAAAUGAAACAAUUAUUGAUAUCACAAAUCAGAAUCAGGCAGAACGCAAUAAACAGAGAAAGAGAUUAACUGUGAAUCUAACAAUCUUUUGAGAGAAUGAUAGUGAUGGCAAAUUGGUCAUAAAUCACUUCAAAAUAAAUUAUAAUUUGAACAAACCAAUGA